rnacentral:rRNA from 1 species
GGGUUGUGAGGUUAAGCGACUAAGCGUACACGGUGGAUGCCCUGGCAGUCAGAGGCGAUGAAGGGCGUGCUAAUCUGCGAUAAGCGCCGGUAAGGUGAUAUGAACCGUUAUAACCGGCGAUACCCGAAUGGGGAAACCCAGUGUGACUCGUCACACUAUCAUUAACUGAAUCCAUAGGUUAAUGAGGCGAACCGGGGGAACUGAAACAUCUAAGUACCCCGAGGAAAAGAAAUCAACCGAGAUUCCCCCAGUAGCGGCGAGCGAACGGGGAGGAGCCCAGAGCCUGAAUCAGCAUGUGUGUUAGUGGAAGCGUCUGGAAAGGCGCGCGAUACAGGGUGACAGCCCCGUACACAAAAGCGCAUGUGCUGUGAGCUCGAUGAGUAGGGCGGGACACGUGGUAUCCUGUCUGAAUAUGGGGGGACCAUCCUCCAAGGCUAAAUACUCCUGACUGACCGAUAGUGAACCAGUACCGUGAGGGAAAGGCGAAAAGAACCCCGGCGAGGGGAGUGAAAAAGAACCUGAAACCGUGUACGUACAAGCAGUGGGAGCACAGGUUUACCUGUGUGACUGCGUACCUUUUGUAUAAUGGGUCAGCGACUUAUAUUCUGUAGCAAGGUUAACCGAAUAGGGGAGCCGGAGGGAAACCGAGUCUUAAUUGGGCGUUAAGUUGCAGGGUAUAGACCCGAAACCCGGUGAUCUAGCCAUGGGCAGGUUGAAGGUUGGGUAACACUAACUGGAGGACCGAACCGACUAAUGUUGAAAAAUUAGCGGAUGACCUGUGGCUGGGGGUGAAAGGCCAAUCAAACCGGGAGAUAGCUGGUUCUCCCCGAAAGCUAUUUAGGUAGCGCCUCGUGAAUUCAUCUCCGGGGGUAGAGCACUGUUUCGGCUAGGGGGCCAUCCCGGCUUACCAACCCGAUGCAAACUGCGAAUACCGGAGAAUGUUAUCACGGGAGACACACGGCGGGUGCUAACGUCCGUCGUGAAGAGGGAAACAACCCAGACCGCCAGCUAAGGUCCCAAAGUCAUGGUUAAGUGGGAAACGAUGUGGGAAGGCCCAGACAGCCAGGAUGUUGGCUUAGAAGCAGCCAUCAUUUAAAGAAAGCGUAAUAGCUCACUGGUCGAGUCGGCCUGCGCGGAAGAUGUAACGGGGCUAAACCAUGCACCGAAGCUGCGGCAGCGACGCUGAUGCGUUGUUGGGUAGGGGAGCGUUCUGUAAGCCUGCGAAGGUGGCCUGUGAGGGUUGCUGGAGGUAUCAGAAGUGCGAAUGCUGACAUAAGUAACGAUAAAGCGGGUGAAAAGCCCGCUCGCCGGAAGACCAAGGGUUCCUGUCCAACGUUAAUCGGGGCAGGGUGAGUCGACUCCUAAGGCGAGGCCGAAAGGCGUAGUCGAUGGGAAACGGGUUAAUAUUCCCGUACUUGGUGUUACUGCGAAGGGGGGACGGAGAAGGCUAUGUUGGCCGGGCGACGGUUGUCCCGGUUUAAGCGUGUAGGUGUGUGUUCCAGGUAAAUCCGGUUCACUUUAACACUGAGGCGUGAUGACGAGGCACUACGGUGCUGAAGCAACAAAUGCCCUGCUUCCAGGAAAAGCCUCUAAGCAUCAGGUAACAUCAAAUCGUACCCCAAACCGACACAGGUGGUCAGGUAGAGAAUACCAAGGCGCUUGAGAGAACUCGGGUGAAGGAACUAGGCAAAAUGGUGCCGUAACUUCGGGAGAAGGCACGCUGACACGUAGGUGAAGUGAUUUACUCAUGGAGCUGAAGUCAGUCGAAGAUACCAGCUGGCUGCAACUGUUUAUUAAAAACACAGCACUGUGCAAACACGAAAGUGGACGUAUACGGUGUGACGCCUGCCCGGUGCCGGAAGGUUAAUUGAUGGGGUCAGCGCAAGCGAAGCUCCUGAUCGAAGCCCCGGUAAACGGCGGCCGUAACUAUAACGGUCCUAAGGUAGCGAAAUUCCUUGUCGGGUAAGUUCCGACCUGCACGAAUGGCGUAAUGAUGGCCAGGCUGUCUCCACCCGAGACUCAGUGAAAUUGAACUCGCUGUGAAGAUGCAGUGUACCCGCGGCAAGACGGAAAGACCCCGUGAACCUUUACUAUAGCUUGACACUGAACAUUGAGCCUUGAUGUGUAGGAUAGGUGGGAGGCUUUGAAGUGUGGACGCCAGUCUGCAUGGAGCCGACCUUGAAAUACCACCCUUUAAUGUUUGAUGUUCUAACGUGGACCCGUGAUCCGGGUUGCGGACAGUGUCUGGUGGGUAGUUUGACUGGGGCGGUCUCCUCCUAAAGAGUAACGGAGGAGCACGAAGGUUGGCUAAUCCUGGUCGGACAUCAGGAGGUUAGUGCAAUGGCAUAAGCCAGCUUGACUGCGAGCGUGACGGCGCGAGCAGGUGCGAAAGCAGGUCAUAGUGAUCCGGUGGUUCUGAAUGGAAGGGCCAUCGCUCAACGGAUAAAAGGUACUCCGGGGAUAACAGGCUGAUACCGCCCAAGAGUUCAUAUCGACGGCGGUGUUUGGCACCUCGAUGUCGGCUCAUCACAUCCUGGGGCUGAAGUAGGUCCCAAGGGUAUGGCUGUUCGCCAUUUAAAGUGGUACGCGAGCUGGGUUUAGAACGUCGUGAGACAGUUCGGUCCCUAUCUGCCGUGGGCGCUGGAGAACUGAGGGGGGCUGCUCCUAGUACGAGAGGACCGGAGUGGACGCAUCACUGGUGUUCGGGUUGUCAUGCCAAUGGCACUGCCCGGUAGCUAAAUGCGGAAGAGAUAAGUGCUGAAAGCAUCUAAGCACGAAACUUGCCCCGAGAUGAGUUCUCCCUGAGACUUAAAGUCUCCUGAAGGAACGUUGAAGACGACGACGUUGAUAGGCCGGGUGUGUAAGCGCAGCGAUGCGUUGAGCUAACCGGUACUAAUGAACCGUGAGGCUUAACCUUACAACGCCGAAG